rnacentral:rRNA from 1 species
GAGAAGUAAUUCACCUUUUGUUCUAGCGGCGGACGGGUGAGUAACGCGUGAGCAACCUGUCCUUGUCUGGGGGAUAAGGAGCCGAAAGGCUCUCUAAUACCGCAUGAGACCACGGGAUCACAUGGUUCUGAGGUCAAAGGAUUUCGGUCCGGACAGGGGUGGGCUCGCGUCUGAUUAGCUAGUUGGUGGGGUAAGGGCUCACCAGGGCAACGAUCAGUAGCCGACCUGAGAGGUGAUUGGUCACAUGGACUUAGACACGUUCCAACUCCUACGGGAGGCAGCAGUGGGGAAUAUUGGGCAUUGGCGAAAGCUGACCCAGCCACGCGCGGAGGAGGAAGGCUUUCGGUCGUAACUCUAUCCCAGAUGAAGAUAAUGACGGUAAUCUGAGGAAGCCCGGGCUAACUACGUGCAGCAGCCGCGGUAAUACGUAGGGGGCAAGCGUGUCCGGAAUGAUGGGGCGUAAAGGGCGCGUAGGCGGCCUUUUAAGUCCGAUGUGAAAGUCCUGCUUUUAAGGUGGGAAUUGCAUUGGAAACUGGAAGGCUUGAGUGCAGGAGAGGUAAGUGGAAUUCCCGGUGUAGCGGUGAAAUGCGUAGAGAUCGGGAGGAACACCAGUGGCGAAGGCGACUUACUGGACUGUAACUGACGCUGAGGCGCGAAAGUGUGGGGAGCAAACAGGAUUAGAUACCCUGGUAGUCCACACGGUAAACGAUGAGUGCUAGGUGUAGGAGGUAUCGACCCCUUCUGUGCCGGAGUCAACACAAUAAGCACUCCGCCUGGGGAGUACGGCCGCAAGGUUGAAACUCAAGGAAUUGACGGGGGCCCGCACAAGCAGCGGAGCAUGUUGUUUAAUUCGAAGCAACGCGAAGAACCUUACCAGGUCUUGACAUCCAGUAAAACUGUAGAGAUACAGUGUGACUUCGGUCAUACUGAGACAGUGGUGCAUGGUUGUCGUCAGCUCGUGUCGUGAGAUGUGGGUUAGUCCCGCACGAGCGCAACCCUUGUGAUAGUUACUAACGCGUAGAGCGAGGACUCUAAUAAGACUGCCGGGACACUCGAGAAGGUGGGGACGACGUCAAUCAUCAUGCCCCUUAUGACCUGGCUACAAACGUGCUACAAUGCAUUACGAGAGCUACGACUCGUAAGGUUAAGCGAAUCUCAUAACAGUGGUCCCAGUUCGGAUUGUGGGCUGCAACCCGCCCACAUGAAGUCGGAGUUGCUAGUAAUCGCGAAUCAGCAUGUCGCGGUGAAUACGUUCCCGGGCCUUGUACACACCGCCCGUCACACCAUGGGAGUUGAUAGCGCCCGAAGUCGGUGAGGCAACCGUAAGGAGUCAGCCGCCGAAGGUGAGAUCAAUGACUGGGGGAAGUCGUAACAAGGUAACC